rnacentral:rRNA from 1 species
AUUGAACGCUGGCGGCAUGCCUUACACAUGCAAGUCGAACGGCAGCAUAGGAGCUUGCUCCUGAUGGCGAGUGGCGAACGGGUGAGUAAUAUAUCGGAACGUGCCCUAGAGUGGGGGAUAACUAGUCGAAAGACUAGCUAAUACCGCAUACGAUCUACGGAUGAAAGUGGGGGAUCGCAAGACCUCAUGCCCCUGGAGCGGCCGAUAUCUGAUUAGCUAGUUGGUGGGGUAAAAGCCUACCAAGGCAACGAUCAGUAGCUGGUCUGAGAGGACGACCAGCCACACUGGGAUUGAGACACGGCCCAGACUCCUACGGGAGGCAGCAGUGGGGAAUUUUGGACAAUGGGGGCAACCCUGAUCCAGCAACGCCGCGUGAGUGAAGAGGGCCUUCGGGUUGUAAAGCUCUUUUGUCAGGGAAGAAACGGUAGUAGCGAAUAACUAUUACUAAUGACGGUACCUGAAGAAUAAGCACCGGCUAACUACGUGCCAGCAGCCGCCGUAA